rnacentral:rRNA from 1 species
CGAACGGGUGAGUAACACGUGAGCAACCUGCCCUUCAGAGGGGGACAACAGUUGGAAACGACUGCUAAUACCGCAUAAGACCACGGUGUGGCAUCACACAGAGGUCAAAGGAGAAAUCCGCUGAAGGAUGGGCUCGCGUCCAAUUAGCUAGAUGGUGAGGUAACGGCCCACCAUGGCGACGAUUGGUAGCCGGACUGAGAGGUUGAUCGGCCACAUUGGGACUGAGACACGGCCCAGACUCCUACGGGAGGCAGCAGUGGGGAAUAUUGCACAAUGGAGGAAACUCUGACGCAGUGACGCCGCGUAUAGGAAGAAGGUUUUCGGAUUGUAAACUAUUGUCGUUAGGGAAGAGAAAGGACAGUACCUAAGGAGGAAGCUCCGGCUAACUACGUGCCAGCAGCCGCGGUAAUACGUAGGGAGCGAGCGUUAUCCGGAAUUAUUGGGUGUAAAGGGUGCGUAGACGGGAAGAUAAGUUAGUUGUGAAAUCCCUCGGCUUAACUGAGGAACUGCAACUAAAACUGUUUUUCUUGAGUGCAGGAGAGGUAAGUGGAAUUCCUAGUGUAGCGGUGAAAUGCGUAGAU